rnacentral:rRNA from 1 species
CCUACGGGUGGCAGCAGUGAGGAAUAUUGGUCAAUGGCCGAGAGGCUGAACCAGCCAAGUCGCGUGAGGGAAGACGGCCCUACGGGUUGUAAACCUCUUUUGUCAGGGAACAAAGGCGGGGACGUGUCCCCGGAUGAGUGUACCUGAAGAAAAAGCAUCGGCUAACUCCGUGCCAGCAGCCGCGGUAAUACGGAGGAUUCGAGCGUUAUCCGGAUUUAUUGGGUUUAAAGGGUGCGCAGGCGGUUCGUUAAGUUAGCGGUGAAAUCCCGGGGCUCAACCCCGGCCCCGCCUUGGAUACUGGCAGGCUCGAGUUGGAGAGAAGUAUGCGGAAUGCGCGGUGUAGCGGUGAAAUGCAUAGAGAUCGCGCAGAACGCCGAUUGCGAAGGCAGCAUGCCGGCUCCACACUGACGUUGAGGCACGAAAGCGUGGGUAUCGAACAGGAUUAGAUACCCCUGUAGUC